UACGUAGGGGGCAAGCGUUGUCCGGAUUUAUUGGGCGUAAAGAGCGUGUAGGCGGUCAGGUAGGUCCGUUGUGAAAACUCGAGGCUCAACCUCGAGACGCCGAUGGAAACCAUCUGACUAGAGUCCGGAAGAGGAGAGUGGAAUUCCUGGUGUAGCGGUGAAAUUCGUAGAUAUUCGGAAGAACACCAGUGGCGAAGGCGACUUACUGGACACAUAUUGACGCUGAGGUGCGAAAGCGUGGGGAGCAAACAGG
rnacentral:rRNA from 1 species